UUGGGGUAACUAUUGUGCAACU
rnacentral:siRNA from 1 species